AUUGAACGCUGGCGGCAGGCCUAACACAUGCAAGUCGAGCGGAUGAAGGGAGCUUGCUCCUGGAUUCAGCGGCGGACGGGUGAGUAAUGCCUAGGAAUCUGCCUGGUAGUGGGGGACAACGUUUCGAAAGGAACGCUAAUACCGCAUACGUCCUACGGGAGAAAGCAGGGGACCUUCGGGCCUUGCGCUAUCAGAUGAGCCUAGGUCGGAUUAGCUAGUUGGUGAGGUAAUGGCUCACCAAGGCGACGAUCCGUAACUGGUCUGAGAGGAUGAUCAGUCACACUGGAACUGAGACACGGUCCAGACUCCUACGGGAGGCAGCAGUGGGGAAUAUUGGACAAUGGGCGAAAGCCUGAUCCAGCCAUGCCGCGUGUGUGAAGAAGGUCUUCGGAUUGUAAAGCACUUUAAGUUGGGAGGAAGGGUUGUAGAUUAAUACUCUGCAAUUUUGACGUUACCGACAGAAUAAGCACCGGCUAACUCUGUGCCAGCAGCCGCCGUAACAC
rnacentral:rRNA from 1 species